CAGUAGCCACGGGAAUACGAAGGGUGCAAGCGUUACUCAGAAUUACUGGGCGUAAAGCGUGCGUAGGUGGUGGUUUAAGUCCGUUGUGAAAUCCCCGGGCUCAACCUGGGAAUGGCAGUGGGUACUGGCAAGCUAGAGUGUGUCAGAGGAUGGUGGAAUUCCCGGUGUAGCGGUGAAAUGCGUAGAGAUCGGGAGGAACAUCAGUGGCGAAGGCGGCCAUCUGGGACAACACUGACGCUGAGGCACGAAAGCGUGGGGAGCAAACAGGAUUAGAUACCCCCGUAGUCCCUGUCUCUUAUAC
rnacentral:rRNA from 1 species